GGGGCCAUAGGAUAACCCGGCAGUCCUGCCGGCUCCAGACCGGCUAGUCCCGGUUCAAACCGGGCUUUCUUUAAAAAGAAAGCACGGGUGCAAAGAAACUCCGCUUUCCAGCACAUGAGAAUCCGGGUGGCCCCACCA
rnacentral:tRNA from 1 species